rnacentral:rRNA from 1 species
GUGCCAGCAGCCGCGGGGAAUACGUAAGUGGCAAGCGUUAUCCGGAAUUACUGGGCAUAAAGAGUUCGUAGGCGGUUAAUCAAGCCAGCUAGUGAAAGCCAUCGGCCUAACCGAUGUCAGCUAAUGGAACUGGUUAACUUGAGUACAGGAGAGGAAAGUGGAAUUCCUAGUGUAGUAGUGAAAUGCGUAGAUAUUAGGAAGAACAUCAGUAGCGAAGGCGACUUUCUGGACUGUAACUGACGCUGAGGAACGAAAGCGUGGGGAGCGAACAGGAUUAGAUACCCUGGUAGUCCACGCCGUAAACGAUGGAUACUUGGUGUUGGCCGUAAAGGUCGGUGCCGGAGCAAAUGUAUUAAGUAUCCCGCCUGGGGAGUACGGUCGCAAGGCUGAAACUCAAAAGAAUUGACGGGGACCCGCACAAGCAGCGGAGCAUGUGGUUUAAUUCUAAGCAACGCGAGAACAUUACCAAAUCUUGACAUAUCAAAGCUAUCUGAGUAAAAUUGGAGUUCCUUUGGACUUUGAAUACAGGUGGUGCAUGGUUGUCGUCAGCUCGGGGCGGAGAUGUUGGGUUAAGUCCCGUAACGAGCGCAACCCUUAUUUUUAGUUGCUAACAGGUCAGCUGAGACUCUAGAGAGACUGCCGAUGAAAAAAUCGGARGAAGGUGGGGAUGACGUCAA